UACGGAGGGGGCUAGCGUUGUUCGGAAUUACUGGGCGUAAAGCGCACGUAGGCGGCUUUGUAAGUCAGAGGUGAAAUCCUGGAGCUCAACUCCAGAACUGCCUUUGAUACUGGCAAUCUAGAGUCCGGAAGAGGUAAGUGGAACUCCUAGUGUAGAGGUGGAAUUCGUAGAUAUUAGGAAGAACACCAGUGGCGAAGGCGGCUUACUGGUCCGGAACUGACGCUGAGGUGCGAAAGCGUGGGGAGCAAACAGG
rnacentral:rRNA from 1 species